rnacentral:tRNA from 1 species
CAAGAAAUAGUUUAAUAAAAAUAAUAAUUUUGGAGAUUAUUGAUAAAUAGAAAAUAUUUUUUUUUGA